AUGGCAGCACUAUGGUUUAACACUACGACGUUCGUUCACACCACAGGGUUGGUUGACACACUGCAGGGUUCACAACACACACCUCUGUGUGGGUGGAGGUGUGAGGAGAGACAGAGGAGUAACCAGCUCACACCGUGGUCUACAGUUAGUCUGACUCUGGCCUAUAUACUCUGGACAUCAGUCAGCCAACAGAAAGGCCUAUAUAUUCUGGACAUCAGUCAGCCAACAGAAAGGCCUGUUUUGUACGUCAUGACAAUUUAUCCUAGACAGACUUCUAAAUAUAGAACAUCUAUUUGGCUACCAAUGAUUCAUUGAAAAUGAGCUUUUCUUGAAAGUGCAACAUGCUCCCUUUAAAAUGACGUCCCCGACUGCAAGUCAUUAUUGUGCUGCUGUCUGCAUGGUCCCACCCUGUUGGUCUGAUGGAGAGAUAAUGGGCUGUUCCUCUUCUAAAUGGGACGUUCACCUCUGGUAAGUGGCUGUGUAGCACGACCCAGAGACAUACAUUAAGAGCGUGGCCAGGUUUGAGAACGGCUGCCAUGGUAACGUCUCUAUUCUCUAGAUGUUGGUGAUGUCACAAUGCUAGAGUGACAGUUCCCUGCCGUAAACAAACAAAACAGAGCAGCGAAUUUCCGAUGUUUUUAUUGAUUAGCAUUCGGGAUCGUGUGCAUCCAAGGCGGUGUUGUGUUGUGGCGUCAAACAAAUGACUUAUCUGCUUUCACUGGACGUCUUCACAGGUUUAAAACCUGUCGGAAAUAAACCGUGCAGCUCUGAAGUGUGGCAGUGGCUACAGAGCCUUUUACCUUGGCUACUGAGGAGGAAGUGGCUCUCAGAAUGUUCAGACAGAAACCUCUCUAGAUACAUGUAUAGGACUCUGGCACGGCCCAGCAGCCUGCUAGGAGUUCCGGCACGGCCCAGCAGCCUGCUAGGAGUCCGGCACGGCCCAGCAGCCUGCUAGGAGUCCGGCACGGCCCAGCAGCCUGCUAAGUUACUUGGUGCAGUAAAGACCGACAUCUAGCAGAGACCAACUGUCUGGUGAAUUACAGGCACUACUGGCAAAUCUCUGAAUAGUGUAAUAUAACCCAGGUCACUGAUUUCUGGAAACUUCCAAUGUCAUCAGUAGCUAGAGGAGACUACUGUAAAAGAUUGAAGAAGACUAUUCUAGUCUGUUCUUAUUCCCAGGUCUUAUGUCCAACAGUCUGGGGAAUGACUGGGAUAAGAGGCAGAUCUCUGAAGAAACCCAGUCUGGUUAACCCAUGCCUGUGUAGAAUGAACAUCUAGAACAAGCCUGCCUAGCCGCCAUAGCCGGUCGCUGUUUCCAGGUCUUGUGGAUUGGGCCAUAUGCGACCCCCCCCCCAUGCCCUCAGGUCAUCCUGUCAUCACUCUAUCCAGGUCAGUAGUUUUUAUUGGCUCCAGACUGACUGUCCAGACUGACUGAGUGCCACUGCCCAGCUUCAGCCACCUUCUCUGGGGUUGAAUGGGCUGCAUGGUGGGGGAGGGGGAUACCACCUUCUCUGGGGUUGGAUGGGCUG
rnacentral:lncRNA from 13 species